CAUUGAAAGAGUGCGUAAUAGCUCACUGGUCGAGUGACCCCGCGCCGAAAAUGUACCGGGGCUAAACAUAUUACCGAAACUGUGGAUGAACCUCUUUAGAGGUUCGUGGUAGGAGAGCGUUCUAAGGGCGGUGAAGUCAGACCGGAAGGACUGGUGGAGCGCUUAGAAGUGAGAAUGCCGGUAUGAGUAGCGAAAGAAGGGUGAGAAUCCCUUCCACCGAAUAUCUAAGGUUUCCUGAGGAAGGCUCGUCCGCUCAGGGUUAGUCGGGACCUAAGCCGAGGCCGAUAGGCGUAGGCGAUGGACAACAGGUAGAGAUUCCUGUACCAGUGCUAAUUGUUUAACCGAUGGGGUGACACAGAAGGAUAGGGAAUCGCACGAAUGGAAAUGUGCGUCCAAGCAGUGAGUGUGAGAAGUAGGCAAAUCCGCUUCUCGCGAAGCAUGAGCUGUGAUGGGGAAGGAAAUUAAGUACGGAAGUUCCUGAUUUCACGCUGUCAAGAAAAGCCUCUAGGAAGAGUAGUACUGCCCGUACCGCAAACCGACACAGGUAGAUGAGGAGAGAAUCCUAAGGUGAGCGAGAGAACUCUCGUUAAGGAACUCGGCAAAAUGACCCCGUAACUUCGGGAGAAGGGGUGCUCUAUUAGGGUGCAAGCCCGAGAGAGCCGCAGUGAAUAGGCCCAGGCGACUGUUUAGCAAAAACACAGGUCUCUGCAAAACCGUAAGGUGACGUAUAGGGGCUGACGCCUGCCCGGUGCUGGAAGGUUAAGAGGAGUGCUUAGCUUCGGCGAAGGUACGAAUUGAAGCCCCAGUAAACGGCGGCCGUAACUAUAACGGUCCUAAGGUAGCGAAAUUCCUUGUCGGGUAAGUUCCGACCCGCACGAAAGGCGCAACGAUCUGGGCACUGUCUCAACGAGAGACUCGGUGAAAUUAUAGUACCUGUGAAGAUGCAGGUUACCCGCGACAGGACGGAAAGACCCCGUGGAGCUUUACUGCAACCUGAUAUGGAAUGUUUGUACCGCUUGUACAGGAUAGGUAGGAGCCGAAGAGACGUGUGCGCUAGCAUACGAGGAGGCAAUGGUGGGAUACUACCCUGGCUGUAUGACCAUUCUAACCCGCCACGCUUAGCGCGUGGGGAGACAGUGUCAGGUGGGCAGUUUGACUGGGGCGGUCGCCUCCUAAAGAGUAACGGAGGCGCCCAAAGGUUCCCUCAGAAUGGAUGGAAAUCAUUCGCAGAGUGUAAAGGCACAAGGGAGCUUGACUGCGAGACUGACAAGUCGAGCAGGGACGAAAGUCGGGCUUAGUGAUCCGGUGGUUCCGCAUGGAAGGGCCAUCGCUCAACGGAUAAAAGCUACCCCGGGGAUAACAGGCUUAUCUCCCCCAAGAGUCCACAUCGACGGGGAGGUUUGGCACCUCGAUGUCGGCUCGUCGCAUCCUGGGGCUGUAGUCGGUCCCAAGGGUUGGGCUGUUCGCCCAUUAAAGCGGCACGCGAGCUGGGUUCAGAACGUCGUGAGACAGUUCGGUCCCUAUCCGUCGCGGGCGCAGGAAAUUUGAGAGGAGCUGUCCUUAGUACGAGAGGACCGGGAUGGACACACCGCUGGUGUACCAGUUGUUCCGCCAGGAGCAUCGCUGGGUAGCUAUGUGUGGCAGGGAUAAACGCUGAAAGCAUCUAAGCGUGAAGCCCCCCUCAAGAUGAGAUUUCCCAUUUCUUCGGAAAGUAAGAUCCCUGAAAGAUGAUCAGGUAGAUAGGUUUGGAGUGGAAGUGUAGCGAUACAUGGAGCGGACAAAUACUAAUCGAUCGAGGACUUAACCAA
rnacentral:rRNA from 1 species